rnacentral:rRNA from 1 species
UCGUGACCCCAGGUCAGGCGGGACUACCCGCUGAGUUUAA